CAAUGUAUACUGCCCACAGAGAAGCAAUCGGCUCGGAGACAUUUUUUAAAGGGGCUGAGAUGCCUUCGCUGAAGUGCUCCAGGAAGACGAACGCACAAAGCCAUCUUCUGCGAUAUUUGAAGACUCAACAGGAACAAGAACUGUAGGAUUUGGGCCCGGACCCUGCGGUUGCUCUUGAAAGUCUCUGCAUGUCUGCCCGUGUCUUCCCGCAUCCCUGGGCCCAAAACCUCUCCCACAAGGUCCACAAAUGGCCAGGCGGAGCCGGAAGCCAGAGCCCAUUGUCGGGAGAUCGUGCCGUGGUGCCCAGGAUGAUCUGUUGGGGCAUUUCAAGUGACCCAUGCAGCCCCCACUUGUGACUUGCAUCGUCUCUGACCUUCCCUGCGCCUUCAGGAAAAGGAAGAGGAAAAGCAAACAUGGAGGGAAACGCUGAGCACGUGGUUUCGCGGGAGGCAGAGCUAUAACUGUAACCUGCCCUGUUACAGUUGCUUUUGUCAGCGUUUGGGUACUUUUCUGCUGUCCCUCUUCCCUUGCGAGGCGUUACCGCCAAGGUCCGCCAUGCCACCCCCGCCUGAACAAAACAAACAGGAGAAUUGAGCAAGAAUUCACAGCCCCUGAAAAUGCUUUCUGCUAAGCAAGAAUGCAAUUCCUUCCAGAUUCAUUUAUUCCUAUGAUUGACUCAUAGCUUUGAAAAUCUGUGGAGUCACACCCGGGUCAAAAAGAUUACAAUAAAACAUAUUUGCAAAGAUGUUUUAUUUUAAAUUAAAUAUUUUUAAAUGGUCUACAUUAACAUUUUAGAGACAAGAUUUUUAGAAGUAAAGUUACAAAACUUAAAAAUGAUAUUUCAUCCUUUGAUGACAGCAAGAAAGAAGACAUUGUGCCGAGAAUGUUGUUUAUAAUAAAUUCAGUAUAACUGUAACAUGAAAAUUCUACAUGCAUACAUACUUGAUACGCACACAUUGUAUUUUUACAUAUUUACUUUUGGAGUAUUAUAUAAUUAAUGAAGAAUCAAUUCAGCACAAAUGUGAGGUGAGUCUACUUUGCCAAUCAAUUGUAAGUAUCUCAUAAACAAUUUUGGGUAAAAUUUAAAGAUUAGUUUUAUCAUAAAAGGAACUCUCCUGUGGCUCAUUGUUAGUAUGUCCAUUAAUGUUCUAUUUUUUGGCUAAAUUAAAUUUAACUAAGGGAAAAAGAAAACGUAGAGUACUGAGAAUGAUCAAGAUUUUAUGGGUAAGCUAAUUGAAAUGGUUUAUUCUUUGGAAAAUGAUAUUUAUUCCUUGGAAAAUAUCACUCUUGUUAUUUGAGGCUUGUGUUCAAUUAAUAAGAAACUAACAGAAAUAAUUA